GACGAACGCUGGCGGCGUGCUUAACACAUGCAAGUCGAACGAAGUGGCGAAAGGGUGAGUAACGCGUAAACAACCUGCCCUUCAGAGGGGGACAACAGUUGGAAACGACUGCUAAUACCGCAUACGGAAGGAGGGGAUUGCGUCUGAUGAGCUAUUUGGCGGGGUAACGGCCCACCAAGGCGAUGAUGAGUAGCCGGUCUGAGAGGAUUGACGGCCACAUUUGGACUGAGACACGGCCCAGACUCCUACGGUAGGCAGCAGUUGGGAAUCUUCCGCCAUGGACGAAAGUCUGACUGCGCAACGCCGCGGGAGUGAUGACGGCCUUCGGGUUUGAAAGCUCUGUUAAUCGGGACGCGGUACCGGAAUAGAAAGCCACGGCUAACUACGUGCCAGCAGCCGCGGUAAUAC
rnacentral:rRNA from 1 species